GAUGAACGCUGGCGGCGUGCCUAAUACAUGCAAGUCGAGCGAACAGAUAAGGAGCUUGCUCCUUUGAAGUUAGCGGCGGACGGGUGAGUAACACGUGGGUAACCUACCUAUAAGACUGGGAUAACUUCGGGAAACCGGAGCUAAUACCGGAUAACAUUUAGAACCGCAUGGUUCUAAAGUGAAAGAUGGUUUUGCUAUCACUUAUAGAUGGACCCGCGCCGUAUUAGCUAGUUGGUAAGGUAACGGCUUACCAAGGCGACGAUACGUAGCCGACCUGAGAGGGUGAUCGGCCACACUGGAACUGAGACACGGUCCAGACUCCUACGGGAGGCAGCAGUAGGGAAUCUUCCGCAAUGGGCGAAAGCCUGACGGCGAAACGCCGCGUGAGUGAUGAAGGGUUUCGGCUCGUAAAACUCUGUUAUUAGGGAAGAACAAAUGUGUAAGUAACUGUGCACAUCUUGACGGUACCUAAUCAGAAAGCCACGGCUAACUACGUGCCAGCAGCCGCGGUAACAC
rnacentral:rRNA from 1 species